rnacentral:rRNA from 1 species
GACAGAGGGUGCAAACGUUGCUCGGAAUCACUGGGCGUAAAGGGCGUGUAGGCGGGUAGAUAAGUCGGGCGUGAAAUCCCUAGGCUCAACCUAGGAACUGCACUCGAAACUGUUUAUCUUGAGUGCCGGAGAGGAAAGCGGAAUUCCUGGUGUAGAGGUGAAAUUCGUAGAUAUCGGGAAGAACACCCGUGGCGAAGGCGGCUCUCUGGGACGGUACUGACGCUGAGACGCGAAAGCGUGGGGAGCGAACAGG